AUCCGUCCCAUCAGCUAUCUUUCAUAAGUGCCUGACGGUUUCACUUUCAAAAACUUCAUUUUCCAUUCAAAGCAACGCUCCCCUGAUUUCCAAAGAAUCAUGUCCUUUUCAAAACAUUUUACUCCGACGUUUUGAUUCACAUGAAGCAAACACUCAUCUUCCUUACAAAGCUUUAGUCUGGUUCUCUGAUCCAUUCGUCUUCUAGCGUUUUGACUGCAUGACUUGGUACCGCACCUUCCAAGUAAAACCCUUUCCUUUGCUUUAGAUUGUCAGUGGCUAUUAUAUCUACCAAAUUGUUUACUGUGCGAUGGACAUGCUGAAAUUUUAUGGAUUUGAACUCUCUCUUUAUAGUCUUUAUAUCGUGUAUGAUGGAGCAUAUUUCUGAUUUAUCUCUGGAUUUUGAAGUGCAUUUCCUUAUAACUGAAAUCGAGUCCCCUUCAAUAAAGAUUUUAUUUUCUUUCAUUUCUAACCCCAUUUUCACUGCCUCUAAACAUGCAUGUGCUUCUGCUGCGAAAGCCAAGUCAACAUUCUCGUAUAUGGUCGCUCUGGAGGCGAUUACUCUUCCCCUUCUAUUUUUGGCAACUAUUCCCGAGCUUGCUCUAAAAAACCCCGAUUAAAACUCGCAUCAAAGUUGAUUUUUAUGUCUUCUCCAGGAGGCAGAACCCAUGAGUCUCUGAUCGGUGCCUUGGACCCAAAGGGAUACGCAGAUCAUUCGCCUUUGGGGAUUUGAGCAAUUAUCAAAAGCCCAAGACAAUGAAGAAAAACAUGUGUUAUGUUUUCUGCUGCUUCCCCACAUCCUGGGCAGUUUGUUUUUGUUACUAAUAUCUUGAAAUGUAGAUUUGUUUUCGUAGGGAUGUAAUUUCUUGAGAUGCGCUAUACUGUAAUCUUGAUUUUAGAAGGGAGUUUUAGGCUCCAUAGUUCUCGGUAGAAAUUCCUAGUUAAGAGUUGUAAUGUAUUUAACGUAAAAGUAGGAAUACCCAUUUGUAAUAGUUUAUAGGCACUUUGCACUAAGAAUACUCCUGAUGGUUCACCCU